UGCACCGUGUGCUCGUACCCACUGCAGGAAAGCUGGCAUCUAUUACACAGAAUGCAGAGUGGGUACUCAGUUCUUGUUUCUUGGGAGAUUGCGAAACAGUGCAGUCAGGCUUCCUGUCAAAGGGCCACGCAGCCAUCUGUCAUGUCACCACAGGACGAAGGCUCAACAGGCUAAAGGGUGCAGGUGUCAAUCUGUUGUUUUCUUUUUUACAGUCAUUUUAUGUGGAAGGCAGGAAGCGACUAGAUAAACCGUCUACCAAAUUGAACCCACACUGAGGCGUCCCGAGGAUCCUGAGGAAGCCGACGCUCUGCACACUGUGAGGAGUGAUUGUUCUGCCUCCUUCAUCGGGGUCAACACAUCACAUGACUGACUGCUCGGUAAAUCCAGCAGACACAAGAACCGUGUUAAAGGACUGACGUAGGCAGAAGGGAUGUUUCUGAACCAAGUCGAUAAGCAGGAGGCCUGUAAAAGCUCAGAGCCGAGAUCCCGCCCACCGCCGGCUCCUCCAUGACAGCGUGACAUGUACACCGGCCUCGGCUGCAGGACAACUGGAAGAACUGGUCCACGAUGUAUGCGUAUUCAAAACUACACAUCAGAUUCAAAGCAAUCAUCUGUGUCGACUGCUCCCAUCUAUACACACACAUCCAUACAGCUGACGGUGCACACAGACAUUACAGGCAGACUUCACAUUCUUCUCUUAUUUCAGUGGCGCCGCAUCCACACAAAGGUAGACCUAUUCAUAUUUAUAAGCCUCUCGUACCACAGACAGCGUACAGUGGAGAGGGAUUCUCUUAAAGUGACUGUAA